CAACGGAGCAGAUUGGUAACGAUCUUGGGUAACGCUUCUGCUGGAUUUUGGCUAAUAGUAUGAAAGGAUUGAUGCUGAUGGCCCGACGCGUGAGAAGUUGGAGAAGGAAGUAGUGGAGUUGCUGAUGCAGCAGCGCUGGGACCAGGAGCGCUCACGGGAAUGGUUUGAGGCCAAGGUGGAGAGGGAGAGGGCUGAAAAAAUGGCGGCUGCGAAAAAGCGCCGUCAGGAGGAGAUUGAAGAUGUGUUUGCCCGUGAGGCAAAGAAGCCCAAGCUGGCUUCUGAAGAGAAUCAGGGGAUUGGGGCCUUGUUUAGAUCUCGUAUGCGCUCAAUGAUUCAAGACAUUGAGGAGGCAGCGUUGCUUUCUGGGCACGCUAAUCUGCUUGCUGCAGGGGUAGAACCCGAGGCAGCAGAUCAGGAGAUGCACGACUUUGGAGCGCAAGUGGAUCUGGCGGGAAGAGAGGAGGGUCCUCCCUCACCUGAGGAGAUAGCAGAGGAGGGUUUUGAGGUGGUUGUUUCCUCUGAUGAGGAGGAGGAGGAGGAGGA
rnacentral:sRNA from 2 species